AUUGAACGCUGGCGGCAGGCCUAACACAUGCAAGUCGAGCGAGCGGCGGACGGGUGAGUAAUGUAUGGGGACUGCCUGAUAGAGGGGGAUAACUACUGUAAACGGUGGCUAAUACCGCAUACUAUCGGAUAACCCAUAUGGGAUUAGCUAGUCGGUGGGGUAAAGGCUCAUCUAGGCGACGAUCUCUAGCUGGUCUGAGAGGAUGAUCAGCCACACUGGGACUGAGACACGGCCCAGACUCCUACGGAGGCAGCAGUGGGGAAUAUUGCACAAUGGACGAAAGCCUGAUGCAGCCAUGCCGCGUGUAUGAAGAAGGCCUUAGGGUUGUAAAGGUCUUUCAGCGGGGAGGCGUUACCUGAAGAGAAAGCCCCGGCUAACUCCGUGCCAGCAGCCGCGGUAAUUC
rnacentral:rRNA from 1 species